AGUGAACGCUGGCGGUAGGCCUAACACAUGCAAGUCGAACGGCAGCACAGUAAGAGCUUGCUCUUACGGGUGGCGAGUGGCGGACGGGUGAGGAAUACAUCGGAAUCUACUUUUUCGUGGGGGAUAACGUAGGGAAACUCACGCUAAUACCGCAUACGACCUACGGGUGAAAGCAGGGGAUCUUCGGACCUUGCGCGAUUGAAUGAGCCGAUGUUGGAUUAGCUAGUUGGCGGGGUAAAGGCCCACCAAGGCGACGAUCCGUAGCUGGUCUGAGAGGAUGAUCAGCCACACUGGAACUGAGACACGGUCCAGACUCCUACGGGAGGCAGCAGUGGGGAAUAUUGGACAAUGGGCGCAAGCCUGAUCCAGCCAUACCGCGUGGGUGAAGAAGGCCUUCGGGUUGUAAAGCCCUUUUGUUGGGAAAGAAAAGCAGCAGGUUAAUACCCCGCUGUUCUGACGGUACCCAAAGAAUAAGCACCAGCUAACUUCGUG
rnacentral:rRNA from 1 species